rnacentral:misc_RNA from 1 species
CUGAGUUAUCGCGCUCUCUUCUAUAGGUUGCUAGCUCUUUGUUCUGUUCCCUAAGAAGGUCCUCCUUGGCCCAAGCAGCUUCAUUGUCGAUUUUCACGGCUCUUAGCUCCCUAUCCUUCUCAUCUAGCUUCGCCCCCAUAUCCCGUAGUUGUCGCUCCCUCUCAUGUAGUUGUUCCUUCAGUGCCGCAGCCGCAUCAGCAUGCUCCUUCACCCGAGCCUCGUACUCAUUCUGCAUCCCCGCAAACUCCGAUCGCGCCAUAGCAUGCGCCCUCAGCCCCACCUCCAUCUGAUGCAACUCCUGCUGCUGCCGUGCAAUCUCCUGGAGCCGCUCCCUCAGCAUGUCGUCCCCUCCGUCGAUCGUAAUCGAGCAGUAAUCGACCUGCAGCGGCCCUGCUCCCUCCUCGUAGAUUGUGCGCUCGUCGGAGUGGCCGUGCUUGCCGUGGUCCGGCUCCUGGGGG